AGCAUGCAACUCUGCUUAUCGGACAUUUCGCAAAAUAUACUACCAGCAAAAAGUGAGUGGGCGAAUUGCACGCGAAGAUACAAAGGCAUCAUCAACAUAUGUGACCAUUUUUAAUGCUGAAAAAGAGCAGUUUGCUGAAGCGCAGAAAAAAAACUGAAGUGACUACUUAAUCCCAUGUUGAAGCUAUCUGGCAUAUCGCCAACUGGAAGGAUAUCUAUAAUCCCCUCGUUGCCGCUGCUAAGAGAUGUUUGUGUCAUCUAAGCUUUAAGUGACCUAGAGAAGCCUACCUAUAUAGUAUGUGCAAGGAAAUCAUUUGCAGCUGUUCGAACUUGUGGGAGGAAUGUUGGGCAAAGCGGUGUAUGAGGACCCGACGAGGAUACGGGCCACACUAUUGGUAGUGUCAUACGUGGUUAGCAGCAAUACAGGAUUUGAGUUGUUCUGAAAAGUGUAUUCUUUAAGCAAAAUGUGUCAGCCUGCAAAGUCAUAACUUAUUAACAACACUAACAUAAAAUGUCACAAUAACGUCUGGUAUCGCUACGAGUCUACAUAUCCGCCAGCUUCGAAUUCGAGACGUUGAACCAAAUAUUAUUUUUUUCUCUGAGAAGUAGCUCAUAUGCCCAACUUUAUUUUUAAAUUAUGUGUUCUUACAACUUAGUGAUUUUCUGCGUUACAUAUUCAAAAGUGAUUGUUACUAUAAUUGGGAGUUUUAGAUAACUGUGAUAAGAAAUUUACAAAUUGUUGUAGUUGAAUUCCAAGAUAUAAUUAUAUGGGGCUAAUAUAAUAAUUUCACUUUUCCCUAAUAUGGUUUUUGUACCAGUGAAAUAAAAUUUAUGUAAAUAGCA